GCAACUGAACCUGAUUCAGGGCGUGUUGCUAUUGUUGGCAGGUGUAGAAGCCGGUUGAGCAGGUUGUUCCCUGACUGCCGCUCCGUCGGGCCCUCCUCCCUGCUACUCUCUCCAGGACGACUGCUGAUUCACUCACACACUUUGGCAGGUCAGGGAAGAGAGUUUUUUGCCGGUACACCUGUUCUUAUCUGACAGAGCCAAAGCAUCAGAGUGAAACAAACAGGAAAAUGAAACAUUUAGCAAUCACAGCGGGCCUGCUUCUGCUUGUCCAAGUGUUUCCGCUUGCAAAGCUCCAACAUUCAACCGACUCACCAAGACGCACAAUUGAUAAAAGCUGGCUCCGGGACACAGACAAAAAUACUCUUCAAAGUGAAAAUGCUGCAUCUACUAACGAAGAAAG